rnacentral:sRNA from 1 species
UGGAAGAAGAAGAAGAACAACAAU